UACAGAGGUCCCAAGCGUUGUUCGGAUUCAUUGGGCGUAAAGGGUGCGUAGGCGGCGCGGUAAGUCGGGUGUGAAAUCCUGAGGCUUAACCUCGGAACUGCAUUCGAUACUGCGGUGCUUGAGGACUGGAGAGGAGACUGGAAUUCAUGGUGUAGCAGUGAAAUGCGUAGAGAUCAUGAGGAAGACCAGUGGCGAAGGCGGGUCUCUGGACAGUUCCUGACGCUGAGACGCGAAAGCGUGGGGAGCAAACAGG
rnacentral:rRNA from 1 species